GUGCCAGCCGCUGCGGUAAUACGUAGGGUGCAAGCGUUAUCCGGAAUUAUUGGGCGUAAAGAGCUCGUAGGCGGCUUGUCGCGUCUGGUGUGAAAGUCCAUCGCUUAACGGUGGAUCUGCGCCGGGUACGGCAGGCUAGAGUGCGGUAGGGGAGAUUGGAAUUCCCGGUGUAACGGUGGAAUGUGUAGAUAUCGGGAAGAACACCAAUGGCGAAGGCAGAUCUCUGGGCCGUUACUGACGCUGAGGAGCGAAAGCAUGGGAGCGAACAGGAUUAGAUACCCUGGUAGUCCAUGCCGUAAACGGUGGAUGCUGGAUGGUGGGCCCAUUCCGACGGGUUCCGCGUCGGAGCUAACGCGUUAAGCACUCCCGCGU
rnacentral:rRNA from 1 species